UACGGAAGGCAGCAGGGGGAAUAUUGCACAAUGGGCGCAAGCCUGAUGCAGCCAUGCCGCGUGUAUGAAAAAGGCCUUCGGGUUGUAAAGUACUUUCAGUCGUGAGGAAGGUGUUAAGGUUAAUAACCUUAGCAAUUGACGUUAGCGACAGAAGAAGCACCGGCUAACUCCGUGCCAGCAGCCGCGGUAAUACGGAGGGUGCGAGCGUUAAUCGGAAUUACUGGGCGUAAAGGGCACGCAGGCGGUUAAUUAAGUUGGAUGUGAAAUCCCCGGGCUUAACCUGGGAAUGGCAUUCAAGACUGGUUAGCUAGAGUCUUGUAGAGGGGGUAGAAUUCCAUGUGUAGCGGUGAAAUGCGUAGAGAUGUGGAGGAAUACCGGUGGCGAAGGCGGCCCCUGGACAAGACUGACGCUCAUGUGCGAAAGCGUGGGGAGCAAACGAGGGAUUAGAUA
rnacentral:rRNA from 1 species